rnacentral:rRNA from 1 species
UACGUAGGGUGCAAGCGUUGUUCGGAAUUAUUGGGCGUAAAGAGCUCGUAGGCGGUCUGUCGCGUCUGCUGUGAAAACUCGGGGCUUAACCCCGGGCCUGCAGUGGGUACGGGCAGACUAGAGUGCGGUAGGGGAGACUGGAAUUCCUGGUGUAGCGGUGAAAUGCGCAGAUAUCAGGAGGAACACCGGUGGCGAAGGCGGGUCUCUGGGCCGUAACUGACGCUGAGGAGCGAAAGCAUGGGGAGCGAACAGG